ACGGAAGGCAGCAGUGGGGAAUAUUGCACAAUGGGCGAAAGCCUGAUGCAGCGACGCCGCGUGAGUGAAGAAGUAUCUCGGUAUGUAAAGCUCUAUCAGCAGGGAAGAAAAUGACGGUACCUGACUAAGAAGCCCCGGCUAACUACGUGCCAGCAGCCGCGGUAAUACGUAGGGGGCAAGCGUUAUCCGGAUUUACUGGGUGUAAAGGGAGCGUAGACGGUUUGGCAAGUCUGAAGUGAAAUGCGGGGGCUCAACUCCUGAACUGCUUUGGAAACUGUCGAACUAGAGUGCAGGAGAGGUAAGUGGAAUUCCUAGUGUAGCGGUGAAGUGCGUAGAUAUUAGGAGGAACACCAGUGGCGAAGGCGGCUUACUGGACUGUAACUGACGUUGAGGCUCGAAAGCGUGGGGAGCAAACAGGAUUAGAUACCCUGGUA
rnacentral:rRNA from 1 species